rnacentral:rRNA from 1 species
AUGCACGCUGGCGGCGUGCCUCAUACCUGCCAGUCGAGCGAACAGACGAGGAGCUUGCUCCUCUGACGUUAGCGGCGGACGGGUGAGUAACACGUGGAUAACCUACCUAUAAGACUGGGAUAACUUCGGGAAACCGGAGCUAAUACCGGAUAAUAUAUUGAACCGCAUGGUUCAAUAGUGAAAGACGGUUUUGCUGUCACCUAUAGCUGGAUCCGCGCCGCAUUAGCUAGUUGGUAAGGUAACGGCUUACCAAGGCAACGAUGCGUAGCCGACCUGAGAGGGUGAUCGGCCACACUGGAACUGAGACACGGUCCAGACUCCUACGGGAGGCAGCAGUAGGGAAUCUUCCGCAAUGGGCGAAAGCCUGACGGAGCAACGCCGCGUGAGUGAUGAAGGUCUUCGGAUCGUAAAACUCUGUUAUUAGGGAAGAACAAAUGUGUAAGUAACUAUGCACGUCUUGACGGUACCUAAUCAGAAAGCCACGGCUAACUACGUG